rnacentral:snRNA from 1 species
UUUCAGUUAGUGGUGUACGUCA